UACGGAGGGGGCCAGCGUUGCUCGGAAUUAUUGGGCGUAAAGGGCGCGUAGGCGGUGCGGUAAGUCACCUGUGAAACCUCUGGGCUUAACUCAGAGCCUGCAGGCGAAACUGCCGUGCUGGAGUGUGGGAGAGGUGCGUGGAAUUCCCGGUGUAGCGGUGAAAUGCGUAGAUAUGCGGAGGAACACCGAUGGCGAAGGCAAUCCCCUGGGCCUGCACUGACGCUCAUGCACGAAAGCGUGGGGAGCAAACAGG
rnacentral:rRNA from 1 species